UUAGCACCAGAUUCAGUGAUCUGACUUUAUUUGUUUAAUAUCGACAAGAGUAGACUAUUUUAGAUUUCACAAGCUUUCUUUUAGACUAUCUACUGGAAAUAUUCCUCUGAUUUUCAAGCAGAAAGGGACACAUUUUGCAUUUUGCUUCCUUCAAGUAGAAGCAUAUUUAACACAUAUAGGGGAAUGAAAAUUGGACUACAUGUGCAAGGAGGAUGGGGGAUCCAAAGGAUUCCAUGUGUAUGUCUGCACACCUAGACAUGGCUGCAGAGACCGAAAAGACAGAGUGGACAUCUCGUGGGUACUAUCACCACCCAUCAAGUUAAAUUAGCAGGAAGAAUCCCCACAGCUCCUCUUCUUAUGGAGGUGCUGGUUACUGAAGCAAGGACAUAUGAGACUUUAGGACAUCUCCUUUGGGACAUCUGAGAAACACAGGGUGAAGAAAAAAGCAGAAGAAAAAAACUACAGAAGAGACAGACACAAGGUGGAGGGCAAAGUGAAUAUGGAGUGCUGCAUGGGGGGUGUCUCCACUGAAGCUGUCCUGGAUAUUCAGAUAGUUGCAGUUGCGCUCCAAAAGGAACUGAACUUUAUUGAAAUCGUUGUUAUAAGCUGCCUGACAAAUGGGCUGAA